rnacentral:rRNA from 1 species
AACGAACGCUGGCGGCACGCCUAACACAUGCAAGUCGAACGCUCGUAGCAAUACGGGAGUGGCGGACGGGUGAGUAACGCGUGGGAACCUGCCCAGGGGUGCGGGACAACUUCGGGAAACCGGAGCUAAUACCGCAUGAUGCCGAGAGGCUAAAGAUUUAUCGCCUUUGGAGGGGCCCGCGUCGGAUUAGGUAGUUGGUGGGGUAACGGCCUACCAAGCCUGCGAUCCGUAGCUGGUCUGAGAGGAUGGCCAGCCACACUGGGACUGAGACACGGCCCAGACUCCUACGGGAGGCAGCAGUGGGGAAUCUUGGACAAUGGGGGCAACCCUGAUCCAGCGAUGCCGCGUGGGUGAUGAAGGCCUUCGGGUUGUAAAGCCCUUUCGGCGGGGACGAUAGUGACGGUACCCGCAGAAGAAGCCUCGGCUAACUCCGUGCCAGCCGCCGCGGUAAGAC